GUGUGCGAUCAUACCAGCACUAAUGCACCGGAUCCCAUCAGAACUCCAAAGCUAAACGUGCUUGGGCGAGAGUAGUACUAAGAUGGGUGACCUCUUGGGAAGUCCUCGUGUUGCACCCC
rfam:Ricinus communis cultivar Hale ctg_1100012362466, whole genome shotgun sequence.